rnacentral:rRNA from 1 species
GAUGAACGCUGGCGGCGUGCCUAAUACAUGCAAGUCGAGCGAACAGACGCGGAGCUUGCUCCUCUGACGUUAGCGGCGGACGGGUGAGUAACACGUGGAUAACCUACCUAUAACACUGGGAUAACUUCGGGAAACCGGAGCUAAUACCGGAUAAGAUCUUGAACCGCAUGGUUCAAUAGUGAAAGACGGUUUUGCUGUCACUUAUAAAUGGAUCCGCGCCGCAUUAGCUAGUUGGUAAGUUAACGGCUUACCAAGGCGACGAUGCGUAGCCGACCUGAGAGGGUGAUCGGCCACACUGGAACUGAGCCACGGUCCAGACUCCUACGGGAGGCAGCAGUAGGGAAGCUUCCGCAAUGGGCGAAAGCCUGAUGGAGCAACGCCGCGUGAGUGAUGAAGGUCUUCGGAUCGUAAAACUCUGUUAUUAGGGAAGAACAAAUGUGUAAGUAACUAUGCACGUCUUGACGGUACCUAAUCAGAAAGCCACGGCUAACUACGUG